GUUUUCUGUUGGCGUUUGUCUUCCCAAUUCAAACCCACUUGAUCAUUUACAUGCUCUCAGUUGUGAAUUAAAAAGAAUUGAUGUACAUGACUACAACUCAUAUCUUCACCACGGAUUUCAACAGAAAAGCUCACCAACGUUACUCUUUAACAGUAGGAGGAUAACAUUGUGUUUGUGUGCCUGGUCAUUGCCUGCCAUGAAAACUAAAUGAGCAAAUGAGCCGGGGGCCAGUGGUGAAUCAAGGUGGAGAGACAGCGCCAGAGGUUACUGAGAGCAGAGUGGAGGCUGGACCCCUGUGGCCACAGACACCAGCAGAGAGGCCAGAGAUACCAACAGGACCAGAGAGACCACAAGAACUAGCAAUCGCAGCUAUGAUUCCAGUGACCACUUUAGACCUCAGCCCCAGCCCUCUCAGUGCAGACCUCAGUCCCAGCCUCAUCGAAGGGGGAGACCUACUGGCCUGCUGUGAUCUGCUGUCCCUGAAGAGUGACACUGUGUCCCUGGCCAGGAGCGAGGGAUAUGUCCAGGAAGAAGAUACCAGAAGUGUGGCUGCAUCGUCUGUCAUGUCUGUGUUCCCCAGGAUUCAGUUGGAUCCUCUGGAGAAGGACUGGCUACGAUCCUGUGCCCUGGGGAACACAGCUGCUCUCCGACAGCUCCUCACACAGGACUCCAGCCUGGCCUCAAAGAAGGUACUACCUCCCCCUAACCCUCACCCUCUACCUCACCAUCAGCCCCAUCCCGGCCUCCAAGAAGAUACCAAAUAUAAGGCUCUGGACUAG
rnacentral:lncRNA from 8 species